GGAACUACGAGCCAUGCUUAAAACCCAAAGGACUUGGCGGUGUCCUAUCCAACUAGAGGAGCCUGUUCUGUAACCGAUACUCCCCGUUAUACCUAACCAUUUUUCGCUAUCAGCCUGUAUACCUCCGUCGAAAGCCAACCAUGUGAACGCUAUAGUAGGCCCAAUGAUCACACAUCAGCACGUCAGGUCAAGGUGCAGCUAAUGAAAUGGAAGAAAUGGGCUACAAUUUCUAACAUAGAACAAACGAAAUACCAUGUGAAACCAUGGUUACGAAGGUGGAUUUAGCAGUAAAGAGAAAAUAGAGUGUCCUCUUUAACUGGGCCCUAGGACAUGUACAU
rnacentral:rRNA from 1 species